CAGAAUGACGACGCGUACCGCAGGAUCCGCGUCCGCUUGCAGAAGCAGUUGACCGAGUUGCGCCAGCAUCGGCCGCGAGAUCGUGUUCAACCGCUCAGGACGAUUGAGUGUGAUGGUGGCGAUGUUACCAUCGACCGCGUAAAGCACCUCCGAUUCAGCGGCACGUGAUUCCUGGAUGCUUUGCGGUUUUGACAUUCCAAUUUCCUCAAUUGAUCUGGGCGCAGGAAAGAUCAA
rnacentral:misc_RNA from 1 species